rnacentral:sRNA from 1 species
CGAAAGCACUCAGUGCUGGAAGUAGGAGGAGAGUCAGGACUCCCAGGACAGAGAGUGCACAAACUCUGGAGGCUGAAGAGGGAUUCCAGCCCCUGCCACCCACAGACACGGGCUGACUGGGGUGUCUGCCCCCCUUGGGGGGGGGCAGCACAGGGCCUCAGGCCUGGGUGCCACCUGGCACCUAGAAGAUGCCUGUGCCCUGGUUCUUGCUGUCCUUGGCACUGGGCCGAAGCCCAGUGGUCCUUUCUCUGGAGAGGCUUGUGGGGUCUCAGGACGCUACCCACUGCUCUCCGGGCCUCUCCUGCCACCUCUGGGGUAAGUAUCCCUACUUUUAAAAAGAAUUUCCCAGGUUGGCUGAAGGGAGCAGAGCUGUCCCAGGCCCAUGCCCUCCAUGCCCACCUCAGCCUAGGACAGCCAAGUUCUUUGGCUCUCUGGGUAUGUCAGGUGCCACCAAAUUCUGGGCUUGGAACAGCUUCAGCUCCCACCCGCUCCUCCACACACAGACAGUGACAUACUCUGCCUGCCUGGGGACAUCGUG